UAAUGCUCUAAGAUUUAGACGUUGAUCAUGGCUCAGCACUGAGCCGUUGGUUGUGACAGCUUAACACAUGCAAGUCGAGCGGGGAAGUGGUAGCUUGCUACCUAACCUAGCGGCGGACGGGUGAGUAAUGCUUAGGAAUCUGCCAUUUAGUGGGGGACAACAUUCCGAAAGGAAUGCUAAUACCGCAUACGUCCUACGGGAGAAAGCAGGGGAUCUUCGGACCUUGCGCUAAAUGAUGAGCCUAAGUCGGAUUAGCUAGUUGGUGGGGUAAAGGCCUACCAAGGCGACGAUCUGUAGCGGGUCUGAGAGUGAUGAUCCGCCACACUGGGACUGAGACACUGGCCAGACUCCUACGGGAGUGCAGCAGUGGGGAAUAUUGGACAAUGGGCUGGAAGCCUGAUCCAGCCAUGCCUGCGUGUGUGAAGAAGGCCUUUUGGUUGUAAAGCACUUUAAAGCGAGGAGGAGGCUACUCCUAGUUAAUACCUAGGAUGAGUGGACGUUACUCGGCAGAAUAAGCACCGGCUAACUACUUAGUGCCANCAGCACGCGGUAAUACAGAGGGUGCGAANCGUUAAAUC
rnacentral:rRNA from 1 species